UAAAAACCCCGACUUCGGAAGGGGUGUAUUUAUUAGAUACAAAACCAAUGCCCUUCGGGGCUCUUUGGUGAUUCAUGAUAACUAUACGAAUCGCACGGCCUUGCGCCGGCGAUGGUUCAUUCAAAUUUCUUCCCUAUCAACUUUCGAUGUUUGGGUAUUGGCCAAACAUGGUUGCAACGGGUAACGGAGGGUUAGGGCUCGACCCCGGAGAAGGAGCCUGAGAAACGGCUACUACAUCCAAGGAAGGCAGCAGGCGCGCAAAUUACCCAAUCCCGACUCGGGGAGGUAGUGACAAUAAAUACUGAUACAGGGCCCUUUCGGGCCUUGUAAUUGGAAUGAGUACAAUUUAAAUCCCUUAACGAGGAACAAUUGGAGGGCAAGUCUGGUGCCAGAAGACGCGGUAAUUCCAGCUCCAAUAGCGUAUAAUAAAAUUAUUGUGGUUAAAAAAAAAAAGAAAAACCAAGAGCCAGACAAAUCGGUUAGACACAACGCAUAGCUAAAGUAGUAGGAACUAUUAAAAAAAAAAAAAAAAUAAAAAAAAUGCAAAUUCAAAAAAAAAUAAAAUAAAAAAGAAUA
rnacentral:rRNA from 1 species